rnacentral:miRNA from 1 species
GUGAGUUUAUCUAAAUAUGCCC